GCCUGGGUGGCUCAGUCGUUAAGCGUCUGACUUCAGCUCAGGUCAUUCAUGAUCUCGUGGUUUGUGGGUUUGAGCCCCACGUCAGGCU
rnacentral:tRNA from 1 species